rnacentral:rRNA from 1 species
CCCUUAGAUGUUCUGGGCAGCACGCGCGCUACAAUGGUCUUCGCAAACGGAUGCAUUCUCGAAGGAGAAUGCCAAUCUUGGAAUCUAUGCCUUGGUCGGGACAGUUGCUUGCAAUUUUUCGACUCGAACCAGGAAUUCCUUGUAAUCGUGAUUCAUCACAUCACGAUGAAUACGUCCCUGCCCUUUGUACACACCGCCCGUCGCUCCUACCGAUCGAAGAGUUAGGUGAAUUGUUUUGAUCGAUAAGAUUUGACUAUGGUCAACUCUCGUCGGGAAAUUCUGUGAAUCUGACUGUUUAGAGGAAGGAAAAGUCGUAACA